GUCACUUUGCCGGAGUGGUUAACGGGAUCGCCUGCUAUUCCUUGCUUAGUGAUAGUCAGCGGUUGGGAUUUUCCCACGGGUGUUCGAAUCGCCCAGGUGACG